GUGCUCACUUCAGCAGCACAUAUGCUAGAAUUGGAAUGAUGCCGAGAUUAGCACAGCCCCUGAGCAAAGGUGAUACGUGAAUUCAUGAAGUGUUCCAUAUAUCU
ensembl:snRNA RNU6-955P RNA, U6 small nuclear 955, pseudogene